UACCCUCCGAAUUUCAGGCAGACAUCCCAGAGUUCUGUCGCCCUAUCUGUUCCUAGGGCCUUUCUCUAUGUCCCUCGUGGGCUCCUAACUUCAGAGGAAGCAGCUGUGUUCUGGAGCCCAGGCACCAUGCUUUGCAUAAACAAGCAAUUUCGUCAUGACAUGCAUGUGUUGAUAAUCCUGAAACACUCAUUGAGAGGGUCGAUGCAAUUGACCUAGGAUGACCGAUACCAAACAGAAUUUGAAGAACAGGUGGCCAACUCCUACGGAACUCAGUCCCUCGCUCUUCUUUCAAGAAUGGAAAGUAAAAUGAUUUUUGGACUGAUGAAAUUAUAAGAACAAUGAUGCAGUUUAUACAAAACAAACAGCUUUUUCUGUAACCUGCCUCCAAAGAAAUAGAAUUUCCUAGGGAAACAGUGACUCAUGUAUAGUUUCUCAACUUUGAGUCAGAUCCUGGCCUUCACAGAGAAAAAAAAAAAAAAAAAAUGAAUGGGGUCAGGAUGAAUCAACUUGCGAUCUCAAAAUGAUGAUGAAACACAACUUUCUGAGUGAUGUCUAAGUUUCCUGAACAUGCUACAAAUGCAGUUUGAAAGAGGCAGCUAUAGGAGCCCCCUACAAAAAAGUCUGGAAUACUAGCGUGUCGGAUGGCAGGAAAUAAGAUGAAAUCUGAGGCCUCAGGUCCACCCUCCUCUAUUCUUGGAGGCAUUUUGAGGUGUAGUUACAUGUCUAUUGCUUUUUGCCCCUGUGCCAUCUUCUAUUUACAGCCAGUUACAGAGUCAUUGGACUGCAGAACUAGAAGGAAGCUUAGAAGACCAGAAGGGCAGAAAAUUUAUCAGACUUUUUUUCUAUAUAUAAGAGAAAGGAAUCCCAGCCCUAUUCCUCCCUUUCCUUUCCAGGAGACUCCUUUGGGCUGCCUGAACAUGAAUAUCAAACCUGCUACCUAUCUUAUGGCCCAUCCUUCUGGUGGAAAUAUGAAGGCAUGGCCAGAAAUGGCCUUCCAGAAAUGGAGACAACUAAAUGUCUUUACUCUUUUUUUUUUUUUUUUUUUUUUUUUUGUCUUUUCUAGGGCCACACCUGUGGUAUACGGAGGUUUCUACAUCUGCAGUCUACACCACAGCUCACGGCAACGCCGGAUCCUUAACCCACUGAGUGAAGCCAGGGAUCGAACCUGCAACCUCACGGUUCCUAGUUGGAUUCGUUAACCCCUGAGCCAUGACGGGAAUGCCCAAAUUUCUUUACUCUUACUAGCAGAAUUAUAUAUAAAACAGAUUGGGGUAACCUGUAACCUCAGAAUGAGGUCAGAUUUAAAUUCAUAGCAAUAAAUAUCUAUCCCUGCAGUCCUCUCUAUGUGACUGCAACGUGUAAGUUCAUUCCCUGAAACCCUUUUCUAGGUACCAACUAAGUGCCAGGUGCUGCAGAUGUACAGGUCAGUCAAACGUUUCCUGUCCCUAUGGAACUCACAGUAGCAAUCAGAGGAAACCAUUCAUGGAAACAAGAAAGGAAUGGAUUCUUUUCAGAGUGCUGUUAGGUUCCAAAGGAGAGAGAGGUCAUUUCUACCUCUGGAGAUAAGGAAUGGGGUCAAGAAAGGGAUCCAAGGAAAGGUGGCCUUAAGCUAAGUCUUACAAUGACGUAGGGGUGCCCAGGCUGCUUCUGGCAGAGAAGACACUGAGCUAAGACACAGAAGCAUGAAACGGCAUGGGGACCUCUAAGGGACUGCCUGUAAUUCACUGGAAUGAGCAAAAAGCUCAAGAAGGACUUAGUAAGAACUGAGGCUGGAUGGAAAGACAGGUUCAAUGUAAGCACUUUAAUAGAAUACGUCUAUUUAAUUUCUGAUUCAAAUAAACAUUUCUUGGUCAUUUAUUAUGUACAAGGCACCAAGUGCAUCACGGAAAAUUGAUCAGGAUGUGUUGCCAGCACUUUGCAGACCAGACAGUCUUCGGCCUCAAGCUUUCCAGUGGCCAAAGGGAAACAGUGACUGCUCUUCAUAUACUUGAUCGCAAUGUUUUGAUAUGGUCAAGGAAGACUGAUAAAAGGGCAGUGGCAUUUUCACAGAAGCAUUCCAUGUUGUCAAGAGCCUCUGGGAUUUUUCUCUCAGCGGUGAAAAAGAAAACUGGAAACUUCGAAGACGUGGGGUCUGCAGAGGGGACCCCAACCAAGCCCUGUCCAGUUGUGUGCUGGAAGGAAUGGGGAGAGGGCACAGGAAUGGGAGCCUCUCUACACCACCCUCUCACUCCAGCAAUACACUCACCAUUUCACAGAAUAGAAAUGAGUUAUCAGUUAAAGGCUUUAGAGUAAAUAAUUUCUUUUCCCAGCAAUGCAUGAAGAUAGAGUAUCGGAAUCUUCUCAAACGAUUUUUAGGGUAUUGGGGAUUUUCAGGAUCUGGAGAACUUAGAGGUGGAGGAAUACAGCUAUAAAUUUUCAGUUAAUAUAAGCAAUCAGGAAGCUCUGGUCAUUCAGGCUAUGCACCGUGUGCAUAGUUGAGAAUCGGCAGAAAUCUUCUGCAUUUGCAAACACUUUGUGCUAUAAAAAGUAAUUUUAAAAAGCCACCUGUAUAUGUAUAUAUAUAUAUUUAAAGACAUGAAGGUUUUGAUACUUUUUUACAAAAAUUACAAGAUAAAACAAAUACCUGUACAAACCAUGUGUUUUAAAAUAGCAUUUUGUUCUCUUCAGGCUGUUGUUGAUGUGGGGUAAAGUACUGGUUUGUAAACUCCAUCACAUUGUACCCAGACAAAAUUUUCCUUGUUUGUAUCCACCCCAGCACCCCUCAAGGACCACAUUUGACUGUAUUUGAUGUAACAGGCAUGUUAGAAUGUGGGGUCCCCCUAACCAUUUCUGCUUUUUGUCUUGUCCUUCCAAGUUCCGUUAGCUUCUGUACUCGGUCCCCUUUGGAGUCUGGUUUCUCUUCCAGAGGCAAAGGGUGAUGUGCUGCAUCUCACUAGUUGACUUACAUCAUCUUGAUGAACUAAAAACCAAAUGUGGACGUUUGUAAAAUAAAUGCACUCUUUCUAGAGAUUAAAUUCAUUUUUUAAAAU
rnacentral:lncRNA from 1 species